rnacentral:rRNA from 1 species
UGGAUACCUAGGCAUCUAAAGACGAUGAAGGGCGUGCACAGCGACGAAAUGCCUCAACGAGCUGCAUGAUAGCGAUGACUUGAGGACCCCCAAAUAGGGCAACCUCGUAGAACUACUAAUACAAAUUCAUAAUAUUAGUAAGAGAAAACCCAGUGAACUGAAACAUCUUAGUAGCUGGUGGAAAAGAAAGCAAAAGCGAUUCCCUUAGUAGCGGUGAGCGGAACGGGAACAGCAAA